GAGAAGAUGGAGGCUGAGAGGAAUGCCCUUAUAGAGAAGUUGUACCAAGAGGCACCCGAGGGUACUGUACAUGAUUCAAUAAACUGACUUUGGAAGCUAAGUUCCCAAUAAUGGCUAAGGAGCUUGGGAGGAAGGGUAGGAAGAUCCAUGGCAUUGUAUGAAGGAACAAAAUGGACUAUUGAAGGCUCAAGUGGAAUGUUUAUUGAGGCGAUCUCCUGGGCAGAUGAGUGAGGAUGACUUCCUCCAUCCUAGCACCAACUUUUAAGACUUUGCUUGAGUAGUUUGGGUGAGCAUUUGCUAGACUUUUGGUUUGAUGUCCCUUUUUGUGCAGUUAUAGCUUUUUACCUGGAUUAUGGUACUGUCUAGCAAUACUCAAGCAAAUCCAAUGUGUCCCUUUUGAGUAAUGCAAGCUGACACAUAACAAGUAUAUUAGAAUGUACUUUGGUGGAUUUUCUUGAGUUUUGACCUUCUACCUCACUCAAAGUCUCAAUAGAUAGGACAUCUAAUUAGAUUAGUGCAGCUAGUGUAGGCUGCGUAGCAUCUAACUUUUGAU
rnacentral:lncRNA from 1 species